AGUGAACGCUGGCGGUAGGCCUAACACAUGCAAGUCGAACGGCAGCACAGUAAGAGCUUGCUCUUACGGGUGGCGAGUGGCGGACGGGUGAGGAAUACAUCGGAAUCUACUUUUUCGUGGGGGAUAACGUAGGGAAACUUACGCUAAUACCGCAUACGACCUACGGGUGAAAGCAGGGGAUCUUCGGACCUUGCGCGAUUGAAUGAGCCGAUGUCGGAUUAGCUAGUUGGCGGGGUAAAGGCCCACCAAGGCGACGAUCCGUAGCUGGUCUGAGAGGAUGAUCAGCCACACUGGAACUGAGACACGGUCCAGACUCCUACGGGAGGCAGCAGUGGGGAAUAUUGGACAAUGGGCGCAAGCCUGAUCCAGCCAUACCGCGUGGGUGAAGAAGGCCUUCGGGUUGUAAAGCCCUUUUGUUGGGAAAGAAAAGCAGCAGGUUAAUACCCCGCUGUCCUGACGGUACCCAAAGAAUAAGCACCGGCUAACUUCAUG
rnacentral:rRNA from 1 species